UUGACUUUCUAUUUAAUGUAAGUACUUAAGACAGAGCCACCUUUUAAUAUUUCAGUAUUUCAAACUUCUAAUUUCUGGAACUUCACAUACUUCCAAAAAGAAAAAAAACAACCCUGGUUUUGUAGUGAUCAUAUCAUUCCUUAAGUGCCUUUGCAACUAGAUGAAUACUCAGCAACCAACACCUAGCAGAAACAGCCUCACAAGAAAGUUAGUUCAAAUCUGUUCAUUUAAUAAAUAAUUAGAUCUUACUUACUAUGCAUGAAACCUCCAGAGCGCAGUUCAGUAUUCCUCCAAGUUACAAGCCAAAUCAUGCUCAGAUACAGGCCUCAGACGAGGUUUCAAUUUAUAGGAAUCAUGGUCUUUAAAGUUAUUAUAUAAAUGAGGCAUAUUCUUAAAUUUGAGAGAUUUUUCUACACAUUCUGCCAACCAGAAAUGGACCAUUCUGCAGCAGAAAAAUUAAAACUAUGAUCACUUGGAAAACAUGGAGAAAAAUGCUGCUCAAAUCAUAGGAGGUUGCAAAUAAAAAUAAUCAUAUAGGUAUACCCCAAACAAUGAUGGACAUAAAUUUAAAGAGACAAAUCUACUUAACAGCAAUGUAUUUAGAUUGUAACAAUCAGCUAUUUUGGAAUAUAUUCAAAGAACUGCAGUCCAUCAAGGAGUUUAAGUUCAGUUAAAAUAUGGGCUACCAUUUCACGGUCCUACACAGCACUGGGAGGAACCUGUACAUUGCCAGUAGAAAACUAAUAAUUAAAUAGCAAGACAAUUGCCUUGCCUCUGCUUGUCAGAUUUCAGAUGCAUGCUUAAGGUAUAGCACUUCACCCUCCUGAAAAUUUUAAUGUGAAUACAGCCAGCUUACAUUCAGGAAAUAAAAAUUCCUUUAUAGCUGACUCAGAGUCAUAACCAUAGUGUUAGACACGCUGUGAUAAGUUUUAAUUUUGUUUUCCACUACAGAGCAGUGGAACUGUUUUCCUCUGAAAUAAGUCGUGUAUGGCAGAGGAUGGCAGACAAAGGGCUUCACCAAGAACAUACGCCCCCUCAAAAAGAUAUGAAACCAGACUGGAAGAAUUGCUGGAGUGUUAAUUUACUACCUGGUGUCUGUCUCCUGGAGGAAGAGGAACAAAAACUGGAAAGCAGUAGUCUCCCGGUGGAAUCUUGGCUGGAGGCUCACCAGUUCAUACCAGCCUUAUUUAUGAUGGUUUGUGGUGAUGCUGGAGCCUGCACAACCUCCUACUGAAGAAGACCUGGCUAAUGCUGAUGCUCUACUACUGACCUCAUAUAUUUCCAGAUGCAGUCCAUGAGAACAUUUUGCCCUGCCUUUAAAAUACCAUAUACUGUACAUGUAAGUAAACAUUACAAGUAGAAAGAGACAGUCUGGAAAUACAUUCACUUUAAUGGUAGUUCUGCCCAUCUGGUGAAUCUGCAGUCCUACUUAUUGUGAGC
rnacentral:lncRNA from 1 species